rnacentral:pre_miRNA from 9 species
UAAAGUUCUCGUAAAAGUUAACUCAUAUUUGUAUGGAGUUAGAACGUUUGCCUACGUUUGCGCUAAGGGCGCUGUUCCAACUGCAUACAAAUUUGAGUUAACUUUUAUGCUGUCAA